CUGGAUAUUCACAACUCAAAACUGCUCUGCAAAGUUGAGCUUUAUUUGCGUUGGAGAUAAACUUCAACCCUAUACCAUUAAUAGUUCAUGGCUUGUGGCAGAUCAUAUAUGCUCCAAGAAAGGCCAACACUUAUUACAGACUAAACAAAUACUUGGUGAUAAAUUCAGGCAGAAAAUAACAAAUUAUUGGAUAUCUUUAUUUCGUCGAAAAAAGUUUUCCUGGGGAGAAGAUUUUACAAAAACAGUAUGUGUGGCUGCAAGAAUUCAAGCAAAUGGAACUUAUCGCCUGGAGUCACAUUUCUGUAAUGAAAGUCUGGAAGCCUUAUGUCACAAACCUGAUCGUACU